UUUUUUUUUUCUCUUCUAUUCUUUUUCAUUUUUUUAAAAAAUGAUCUUCUACCUUUUUUGUUACAAGAGUUGUUGCUGAUUUUUUGCAACAAUAUGAUUCACAGGAUGGUGUUGAUGAAUAAAGGUUCCAUUUUUAUCUAUUUUUUGCCCGUUUCUUUUUGUCUAAUUUUUUGUGGUAUGAUUUUGUAUUGUUUGAUUUUUGGGACAGGCUAACAACGGUGCUGAAUGUGUUGAAGAAUAAAGGUGUCAUUUUUACAUUUUCCCCCUUUUUUUUGUUAAAUUAUCUUCUGCCAUUUUUGCUGCAAGAGUUAUUGCUGAUUUAUUUUUGCUACUAAAGUGAUAAUGGCGAUGCUAAAGACAUUUUCAAGACAGAGUUGCUAUAUUUUUAUGAUGUUGUGAGCAAUUUGCAGAACUGCAGCUAUGGGGAUGGUGUGGUGAAGCUGCAAGCCUGCAACUGAGGAGGUGAAAAAUAGUUACCAUGUUCUGAGAAAAAUAGAGUGAUGAUGACCCCAUUUUGAUUGAUCGAGAAAUUUUUAUGUUACUUUUUUUGACAAUUUAAAGUUACAAUUUAAUCA